rnacentral:tRNA from 1 species
GGGGUUGUAGCUCAGCUGGGAGAGCGCUUGCAUGGCAUGCAAGAGGUCGAGGGUUCGAUCCCCUUCAACUCCA